CCCUCUCCUCCUCCCCUCUCAUGAACCCGAGCUUUCCUCUUCCCCUCCCUCGCGCGCUGGCUCUUCCCUUCUUCCGAUCUCGCGGCAGUGCCCCAUGCCGCCGCUGCCCGAGCCUUCGUUCCCUGUUCCUCUUUUUUUAGCUCCGACGAUCCUUUUCUUCUUCAUCGAGCUCGCGCCGCUGCUUCUUCUACUCUUUUGUUUUCUUCCUCCGAUCGCCGAGCAGAGCCGCAUUCUCCUUGCCCUAGCACCGAGCGCUUGGCACUAUUCGAGGCGAAGCCGCCAGUUUCCAACCUCUCGAUCAAGGUGAAGAUCCGAGCAGAGGUUCGCUGGUUUUGGUUGCUGCCGAACCUUCCUCCUCUUCUCCUCUUCCGAGUUCUCCUUACUCCCGACGCAACUUCCUCUCGCCGCAACCGAUUGCCAGCCAAAUCACGCCGGCUGUUUUCCCUCUGCCCUAGCGUCGACCAAGUUUUUUCUUCCCCUUUUCUCUUUCGUCGCAACAUCGCCGCCGACGCCGAUCCUUCUCCCGACCUCUUCUUCACGUCACCCACAGUCGACGCUGUCGCACGGAGCAGCACUGACGACGAGGACUUUCCUCUUCCCCUCUGCCCUAGCGUCAGCAGCCUAAGAUUUCCUCCAACCGAUUGCUUCGCCUGAGCCAUAGUUUUCCAGAUGCUAUUUUCUUCUUCUGUCGGCUUUGCCCCAAUGCCUACUGCUUGAUGCCACAAUCCAGCAGCCACCUCCUGUGCCAUGGCGUCAAUCCACAUCUCGAAAAGGCAACGGCUUCACUUGGUCUCGACUACUGCCUGCGGUAGUGAGUUGCUCCGACCAUGAGUAGUGCGUUGGAUUUGGAGAUACCAAGUAGAUACUUUUGGAGUCGCAUGGAGUAUCCUGUCUGCCAAUUCCCAUGUCACAUCCAAAGACCUGUUUCGGGUUUUCAUUUGUUCUUUAUUUGGUCUACGUCUUUGGUUUACUUAGAAAUGUAAAAUUUCGGUUUUGGUUCCGGAGUGCUGUGAUGUGGUGUUUUGUAUUGUUUGUUGUGUUGUGUAAGCCUAGCCGGCUAGCGGUCCUUGUUUUUGGUUGUGAUGGUUUCUAUCGUAUUUCCGUUGUGUUUCUUCUUUUUAGUACAACCGAGUGGGCUGUUAGAUAUAUAUAUAAUUGCGUGGUUGUAUUUUAGUUGUUACAGCUGAGUGAGCUGAAUAUAAACUGCAUGGUUGUGUAUAUAUUCUAGCCGUAUGUGGCUGAUAUAUAUCUGUGGAUGUACAAAUGAUUCAGAUUGUCACAAGUACAGGGGAGAUGCUGCUGGAUUUUUCCUCUAGCUAGGACUCCUCGGGGCGUGACAAUUUAUUUGGUAUCAGAGCCACAGGUUUACGAGGCC